CGGUUUCCAGGAGCCUCGCGAUGUGCCUGCAUCCACGGGGGAGUGUAUGCUCUCACGUCUCACGCCGCCGUGAAGCGGCUCACGCAUGAGGUCUGCGCCCUCCUCCCCAGUGUGGAGGCGCAGCAGCCGUUGAGGUGGUCGCAUGUGCCGAUCACCUUCAACUCGGACGAUCACCCGAUCCGUCCCUUGGGUUCAAGGGUGCUCCCCCUCGUAGUG
rnacentral:lncRNA from 1 species